GGCAGUGGCAGCUCAGUGGUUAAGACAUUGGACUUUUGCUCAGAAAGCCAUGAGUUCAAAUCCCAGCACCACCGCCA